ACAGAGUGAGUGGCGAACUGGUGAGUAACACGUGGGAAACCUGCCCAGAAGCGGGGGAUAACACCGGAAACAGAUGCUAAUACCGCAUAACAACUUGGACCGCAUGGUCCGAGUUUGAAAGAUGGCUUCGGCUAUCACUUUUGGAUGGUCCCGCGGCGUAUUAGCUAGAUGGUGGGUAACGGCUCACCAUGGCAAUGAUACGUAGCCGACCUGAGAGGGUAAUCGGCCACAUUGGGACUGAGACACGGCCCAAACUCCUACGGGAGGCAGCAGUAGGGAAUCUUCCACAAUGGACGAAAGUCUGAUGGACAACGCCGCGUGAGUGA
rnacentral:rRNA from 1 species